UCCCUGGUGGCUCAGACAGUAAAGCAGCUGCCUGCAAUUCAGGAGACCCGGGUUCAAUUCCUGGGUUGGGAA
rnacentral:tRNA from 1 species